rnacentral:rRNA from 1 species
UACAGAGGGUGCGAGCGUUGUUCGGAAUUAUUGGGCGUAAAGCGCUUGUAGGCGGCACGUCAAGUCGCGUGUGAAAUCCCCAGGCUUAACCUGGGAAGUGCGCGCGAAACUGACGAGCUUGAGUGCCGGAGAGGGUCGCGGAAUUCCCGGUGUAGAGGUGAAAUUCGUAGAUAUCGGGAGGAACACCAGUGGCGAAGGCGGCGACCUGGACGGACACUGACGCUGAGACGCGAAAGCGUGGGGGAGCAAAACAGG